rnacentral:rRNA from 1 species
AGCAGUAGCCGCGGUAAUACGUAGGGUGCAAACGUUAAUCGGAAUUACUGGGCGUAAAGCGUGCGCAGGCGGUUCGUUAAGACAGAUGUGAAAUCCCCGGGCUUAACCUGGGAACUGCAUUUGUGACUGGCGGGCUAGAGUAUGGCAGAGGGGGGUAGAAUUCCACGUGUAGCAGUGAAAUGCGUAGAGAUGUGGAGGAAUACCGAUGGCGAAGGCAGCCCCCUGGGAUAGCACUGACGUUCAUGCCCGAAAGCGUGGGUAGCAAACAGGAUUAGAUACCCGCGUAGUCCCUGUCUCUUAUAA